rnacentral:rRNA from 1 species
CUCCGGUUGAUCCUGCCGGACCCGACUGCUAUCAGAGUGAGAUUAAGCUAUGCGAGUUAACGUAGCAAUACGUGGCGCACGGCUCAGUAACACGUAGUCAACAUGCCCAGAGGACGUGGAUAACCUCGGGAAACUGAGUCUAAACCGCGAUAAGUGAGGAUUUCUGGAAUGGUUCCUGACUAAAAUCUAUAUGGCCUCUGGAUUGGACUGCGGCCGAUCGGGCUGUUGGUGAGGUAAUGGCCCACCAAACCUGUAACCGGUACGGGCUCUGAGAGGAGGAGCCCGGAGAUGGGCACUGAGACAAGGGCCCAGGCCCUAUGGGGCGCAGCAGGCGCGAAACCUCUGCAAUAGGCGAAAGCCUGACAGGGUUACUCUGAGUGACUUUCGCUAAGAAAGUCUUUUGGCACCUCUAAAAAGGGUGCAGAAUAAGGGGUGGGCAAGUCUGGUGUCAGCCGCCGCGGUAAUACCAGCACCCCGAGUGGUCGGGACGAUUAUUGGGCCUAAAGCAUCCGUAGCCGGUUCUGCAAGUCCCCCGUUAAAUCCAGCUGCUCAACAGAUGGGCCGCGGAGGAUACUACAGAGCUAGGAGGCAGGAGAGGCAAGCGGUACUCAGUGGGUAGGGGUAAAAUCCGUUGAUCCAUUGAAGACCACCAGUGGCGAAGGCGGCUUGCCAGAAUGCGCUCGACGGUGAGGGAUGAAAGCUGGGGGAGCAAACCGGAUUAGAUACCCGGGUAGUCCCAGCCGUAAACGAUGCAGACUCGGUGAUGGGUUGGCUUCGCGCUAACCCAGUGCCGCAGGGAAGCCGUUAAGUCUGCCGCCUGGGUAGUACGGUCGCAAGACUGAAACUUAAAGGAAUUGGCGGGGGAGCA